rnacentral:rRNA from 1 species
GACGGGGGGAUGCGAGCGUUAUCCGGAAUGAUUGGGCGUAAAGGGUCCGCAGGUGGCCCGGUCAGUCCGCUGUCAAAGCCUGGGGGCUCAACCCUGGAGAGGCGGCGGAGACCACCGGGCUUGAGUCCGGUAGGGGCAGAGGGAAUUCCCGGUGUAGCGGUGAAAUGCGCAGAUAUCGGGAGGAACACCAAUGGCGAAGGCAGCUCGCUGGGACGGUACUGACGCUGAGACGCGAAAGCGUGGGGAGCAA